AUAUCAAUAAGCGGAGGAAAAGAAACCAACAGGGAUUGCCUUAGUAACGGCGAGUGAAGCGGCAACAGCUCAAAUUUGAAAGCUGGCUCCUUUGGAGUCCGCGUUGUAAUUUGUAGAGGAUGAUUCGGCAAGGGCUCCCGCCUAAGUCUCCUGGAACGGAGCGUCAUAGAGGGUGAGAAUCCCGUAUGCGGUGGGCUGCCUAAGCCAUGUGAAUCUCCUUCGACGAGUCGAGUUGUUUGGGAAUGCAGCUCUAAAUGGGAGGUAAAUUUCUUCUAAAGCUAAAUACCGGCCAGAGACCGAUAGCGCACAAGUAGAGUGAUCGAAAGAUGAAAAGCACUUUGGAAAGAGAGUUAAAAAGUACGUGAAAUUGUUGAAAGGGAAGCGCUUGCAGCCAGACUUGUCCGCAGUUGCUCAGCCGGUCUCCUGACCGGUGUACUCUUCUGCGGCCAGGCCAGCAUCAGUUCGGGCGGUCGGAUAAAGACCUCGGGAAUGUAGCUCCUCUCGGGGAGUGUUAUAGCCCGGGGUGGAAUGCGGCCAGCCUGGACUGAGGAUCUCGCUUCGGCUAGGAUGCUGGCGUAAUGGCUGUAA
rnacentral:rRNA from 1 species